rnacentral:rRNA from 1 species
CGGUAAUACGGAGGGUGCAAGCGUUAAUCGGAAUUACUGGGCGUAAAGCGCACGCAGGCGGUUGAUUAAGUCAGAUGUGAAAUCCCCGAGCUUAACUUGGGAACUGCAUUUGAAACUGGUCAGCUAGAGUCUUGUAGAGGGGGGUAGAAUUCCAGGUGUAGCGGUGAAAUGCGUAGAGAUCUGGAGGAAUACCGGUGGCGAAGGCGGCCCCCUGGACAAAGACUGACGCUCAGGUGCGAAAGCGUGGGGAGCAAACAGGAUU